rnacentral:ncRNA from 2 species
CGAAUUGCAUAAAAUGGUGCUUAUAUAGGUUCAUAAUUGGUUGGACGUAUCUACCAGUUGCCGCAAACAGCUGACUAUAAGCAGAGUGGGAUGGGAA